AUUGAACGCUGGCGGCAUGCCUUACACAUGCAAGUCGAACGGUAACGGGUCUUCGGAUGCUGACGAGUGGCGAACGGGUGAGUAAUACAUCGGAACGUGCCCAGUCGUGGGGGAUAACUACGCGAAAGCGUAGCUAAUACCGCAUACGAUCUAUGGAUGAAAGCGGGGGAUCGCAAGACCUCGCCCGAUUGGAGCGGCCGAUGGCAGAUUAGGUAGUUGGUGGGAUAAAAGCUUACCAAGCCGACGAUCUGUAGCUGGUCUGAGAGGACGACCAGCCACACUGGGACUGAGACACGGCCCAGACUCCGACGGGAGGCAGCAGUGGGGAAUUUUGGACAAUGGGCGCAAGCCUGAUCCAGCCAUGCCGCGUGCAGGAUGAAGGCCUUCGGGUUGUAAACUGCUUUUGUACGGAACGAAAAGACUCCUUCUAAUAAAGGGGGUCCAUGACGGUACCGUAAGAAUAAGCACCGGCUAACUACGUGCCAGCCGCCGCAGUAAGAC
rnacentral:rRNA from 1 species